GAUGAACGCUGGCGGCGGGCUUAACACAUGCAAGUCGAACGGAAAGGCCCUGCUUGUGUGGGGUGCUCGAGUGGCGAACGGGUGCGUAACACGUGAGUAACCUGCCCUUGACUUUCGGAUAACUUCAGGCAACCGGGGCUAAUACCGGAUACGAGCUCCUGCUGCAUGGGGGGGCUUGGAUAGUUUCGGCGGUUGGGGAUGGACUCGCGGCUUAUCAGCUUGUAGCUGGGGUAGUGGCUUACGAAGGCUUUGACGGGUAGCCGGCCUGAGAGGGUGACCGGGCACAUUGGGACUGAGAUACGGGCCGGACUCCUACGGAAGACAGCAGUGGGGAAUGUUGCACGAUGGGCCGAAGCCUGAUGCAGCAACGCGGCGAGCGGGAUGGCGGCCUUCGUGUAGUAAGCCGCUUUCGCCUCCGACGGAGGGUGAGUGACGGUAAUGGGUAAAGAAGCACCGGCUAACUACGUG
rnacentral:rRNA from 1 species